rnacentral:lncRNA from 1 species
AACCACACCCAUGUAAAAAGACUAUCGUUGCCCACUUUUUCCAACGAAAGUUCUGCAACUCAUUAUCUUCGUCGACGAUGAUGGACCAAGACGAUAUGACGAUUGAAGAGUAUGUGGAUCUGCUGGAAAACCUGGUGUCCGAAUUUGACAUAUGCGAUUCCGGUGGGGAAGAUGUCUUCGACACUGAUGGAGAAGAUUAUUUCUUGCCUGGUCCAGUUCAGCUACCCAUCAUAUGCCCACUUUGUGAGGGACCAACAGCAGAUAUUGGUGAACAUUCCUUGAGGUUCGGCUCGCGAAUUUGUUUUCACGAAA